GCAGAACUGCCCAGGAGGGCCCACGGAAAAUGGAGCGGCUUUUAUCCCACUCACUGGGCACUGAAUCUCUGGAAGGGGAUUCCACACUUUCUGGACUUGGGUUGAUCUUUUUGCACUGUCCCACCCCGAUGGAAAGGGAAAAAAGCUUUGCCACCAGCCCCGAGGUGAGGACACCCCAGCAUGGAUCUGUGAUGCAUACCAGAACAUUCGUGCAAGAAGAAGGAACAAUGGCCCAGCUCCAUUUCUUGUGUAGUCUGCAACUUCCUAGCGCGUCUGACACGCUGGGAACCCACGCGCAACACGGUGAUGGAAAACUUGGAGACCGAAUGGAAGUGAAGAAAAGCCCUUGGUGUAAUUUUACAGCGUGUGAAAGACUUAA